UAGUGUUACAGCUCUUUUAGAAUUUGUCUAGCAGGUUUUCUGGAUUUUUACGGAAAACCCCU
rnacentral:snRNA from 1 species